CAGCAGCCGCGGGAAUACGUAGGGUGCAAGCGUUAAUCGGAAUUACUGGGCGUAAAGCGUGCGCAGGCGGUUUGUUAAGACAGAUGUGAAAUCCCCGGGCUCAACCUGGGGGCUGCAUUUGAGACGUCGAGACUAGAGUGUGAGAGAGGGUUGUGGAAUUCCCAGUGUAGAGGUGAAAUUCGUAGAUAUUGGGAAGAACACCGGUGGCGAAGGCGGCAACCUGGCUCAUUACUGACGCUGAGGCGCGAAAGCGUGGGGAGCAAACAGGAUUAGAUACCCCAGUAGUCCCUGUCUCUUAUAC
rnacentral:rRNA from 1 species